UACGAAGGGGGCUAGCGUUGCUCGGAAUCACUGGGCGUAAAGGGUGCGCAGGCGGACUGGUAAGUCAGUGGUGAAAUCUCGUCGCUUAACGACGAAACUGCCUUUGAUACUAUCAGUCUUGAAUCCGGUAGAGAUCUGUGGAAUUCCGAGUGUAGCAGUGAAAUGUGUAGAUAUUCGGAAGAACACCAGUGGCGAAGGCAGCAGAUUGGGCCGGUAUUGACGCUCAGGCACGAAAGCAUGGGGAUCAAACAGG
rnacentral:rRNA from 1 species